rnacentral:rRNA from 1 species
GACGAACGCUGGCGGCGUGCUUAACACAUGCAAGUCGAACGGUGAAGCACCUUCCUUUUGGUGGGUGUGGAUGAGUGGCGAACGGGUGAGUAACACGUGAGUAACCUGCCCCCUUCUUCUGGAUAACCGCAUGAAAGUGUGGCUAAUACGGGAUAUUCUGCGCCUGCUGCAUGGUGGGUGUGGGAAAGAUGCGCCUUUGGGUGUUUUUGGUGGGGGAUGGGCUCGCGGCCUAUCAGCUUGUUGGUGGGGUGAUGGCCUACCAAGGCGGUGACGGGUAGCCGGCCUGAGAGGGUGGACGGUCACACUGGGACUGAGACACGGCCCAGACUCCUACGGGAGGCAGCAGUGGGGAAUAUUGCACAAUGGGCGCAAGCCUGAUGCAGCGACGCCGCGUGAGGGAUGGAGGCCUUCGGGUUGUAAACCUCUUUCGCCAGUGAAGCAGGCCUGUCCCUG